AACGUAGGUGGCAAGCGUUAUCCGGAAUUACUGGGCGUAAAGGGUGUGCAGGCGGGGCUGCAAGUGGUGUAUGAAAUCUCCCAGCUUAACUGGGAUAGGUUAUGCCAGACUGCAGUUCUAGAGGACGAGAGAGGGGGGUGGAAUUCCGGGUGGUAGUGGGUGAAAUGCGUAGAGAUCCGGAGGAACCCCAGAGGCGAAGGCGGCCCCCUGGCUCGUACCUGACGCUCAGCCACGAAAGCAUGGGGAGCGAACGGG
rnacentral:rRNA from 1 species